GUCAAUGGUCAAGUGAAGAAGAUGUUUUCCAAUUUACGGCGACUUGUAGAGAUUGAGGCCACUCUUUCUUCUUUGUCCUUCAGGACUUGGUUGGAAAGGCAUCUGUUUGCAGUAGGACUGCUGCAGCCUGGUCCCUGUCACUGGUGCCCUGAGAGCACCUCUCACCCAUGCAGCAAGUCUCUGGGAGUUCAGACAGGCUUUUUCAUCUGCUGAAACAUUUCCUUGUUGGGAAAUGGGACUUGCUAUAUUGGGUCAGCAGGUGUAUCGUGCUGGUUUAUGAGGUCUACUCAGUUUUUCUAUAUAGGCAGAAUGUUAAGUAAACAUUUUUUCAUAUGUAAAGAAUAUUUGUUUAUUUAAUUUACUGUACACACACAGAGACUUACAUCUUUAGGUUUCUUUUGUGAUUUUUAUAUGGCCUUUUUUGCUAUGUAGCACCCUUCUUCCAACUCUGCUGCAUCUUGGCUAUGAUCUAUAAAGCUAAGAAUUAUGUAAAAAUUCCCAAGGAUUUGUAGACUUCUGAAAACUGAAUCUUACCAUAGAAACUUAGUGAAUUAAAUUGCCCCAAUGCUUGUGGUUUUGAGAGUUUUUAAGCCUUCUACAUAGGGAAAAAAGAAGAUGACAUUAAGUAAGUAGAAAUUGUGCAAGCUGAACCCAGCAGAGCUGCUGUGCUUUACCUAUCAUUCUUCAAAAGGUUUUUGAUCUUUAGAUAAAACAUUUGUUAAUACUUUCAAGAUUUCAACAAACCAUCUUGAAAGAUUUUCUCUUUUUCUACAGUAAAACUUAAUAAUAUGUAAUAAUUUUACUUAAGUUUUAAACUUCUUUCAAUAUCUGGAACUAUUCACCCUAGGCAUUCAAUCACAACAGUGUAACACAGAAAUCCUGAAUCAGGAAGUAAGAGGAUGAAAUAAGGCUGGGGUAAAUGAGUUGAAGGUUUAGAAUAAUUUCAGAUUGAUUUAACUCUCUGGUUCUCUGCUAGAAACAUGAAAAAGAUAAUCUUUUUAUGUCAUUGAUAGGCAAAUUUUGGGAAAUGCUGAAUGCAGAGCACAGAAAAUAAUUAGAAAAAGAAUUAAAAGAUGAAAAUAUUCUUUCAGAUAUAAAAUCAUGUUAUUGAAUAAACUGAGGUUCUGGAAGCCUUAUUCUCUUGCUUUUUUAAUCACUCUGCAGGAAAUGGAGCAAAGCAAAGCAAACAGAAAAGAGUGGCAGGGUGUUAAUUGUAACCUGAUAAUUAAAGUGAAGCAUAGUCAGGGAACAGAUAUCCUCCCAGCUUUCAGCAUGAAAAUGAUGGUGGGCAGCAUCUCUGGACACUCAGCGCUGUUUUGAUAACCCUGGGAAGCUGCUGCAGGGAGAGCCUCAGUGACACACAAGUCCGUGUCUGAGAACACACAUUGCCAGGUGGGGAGUUUCAUAAAACAAAUAAUUGAUCGUCUUUUUUUUUUUUCCAUCUUUGCCUUGGUGUCUGGGCUGUUGAUGGAUAGGAAAUGGAAAGGAUGAGCUCCCUUGGUGAUAAAAAGCAUGGGAGAGCAGGCAGCGGUUGCAGGGUAAUGGCAACAGUGCCUUGUGUCAGUCACAGAUGAGUACUGAGAGAUUAAAUAGAUUAAAUGAAAAUAAAUGUAAGCUAAUUGAAUUCAGUGAUAUAGGAGAAGAAAUCAGAGGAGUAUAAAAUUAGGCUUAAGAUGGGCAUUAUUAUUUUACUUUUGCUUUACCCAGCUCUCUUUUUUGGCUUUCCAGAGUCAGGAGCUUUUUGAGUCAGAAGUGAAAACAAAACAAGAAUACCCUCUGAAACAAAAUGAACUAUUUACUUGUUCUACAGAUUUUAGGUUUUUUUCUUACAGCAAAACAAUUCUGUAGAAGAUUUGCAUUGUUUUAAAAAGAUUAAAUAUCUUAAAUUGAAGUUGCUUGGAUUUUCUCAAUGUUUUUAGUUAAGAUGACCUAAAAUUUGAGUGUCUAUGUGGCUCUUAAAAGUCUCACUUUUAAAGUUAAAAUGUUCAGAAGUGUGAUGAACUGUGAAAACACAAUUGUGAUUCAUUUUCUAGAUUUUGAUUUGGUCACAGAGGUUGUGGUUAAACUCCCCUUCUCCUGACGUGACCUCUCUCACUGCAAGCAUGUGUGUUUUUAUGGAAGAAGAUAAAUUUGUGUACUCAUGAGUUUGUAUCCAGUCAGCAAGAUGGACCACUAAACUUAGGAACAGUUCAGAAAAUAAAACAGGCAUGUAAGUCUGAAGUGCAUAAUGGGGAGAAGGAAAGUUUUAAAAUAAUCAGAGCAAACUGAAAGAAACUGUAAGUAUGUGUUGUGUUUUUCUGGGCCUUGUAUUUGAGAGAAGAACAGUGAACUUGAAGCAGAGGGCGAAGGGUUUGAUUUGAAUAUGAAUGUCUGGCAGGGUCUUAGCAGCAUGAAAGGGAUAAUUUUAGCAGCAGUUUUUGAAUAGAAUCGUUGGGUACAAGCUGAGAUAAAAGUAGGAUACACAGGCCAUAGCUAAGAUAAAGGAUGAGGUAAGGAAAAACCACAAAAGGUAGAAUUCACCUGUGUGCAAAAAAGUCUUGCAGAAACAUGUAUCACUUUCACUCAUACCUGCAUCCUGGUUUGUAAAUUGUAUUGGAUUACCAAGGGUUUGGUUGGCAAACAGAAUUUCCCUCAGGCUGGCUGGCAGGCUAUAUUUCAUGGUAUCCAUUUACAGGCAUAGUACCUGAGGGGGUUUGGUGAGCAUCUGAAACAGGAAAGGUUUUUGGGGUUGAAGUUCAGUUGAGACCUCUCACCAGAUGAAGGAAUUUGUAGUAAAGAUGAACUUUACUAUGUGAAGUCAGAGGUUAUGGCAGUGUACCCAAGAGAAGGGGAAAACAUAACCAACAUUGUCUAGAUUCAAUGACAGGCUUAAAAGAUUUUUGACACCUGAAAGCUUGUGCUGUAGAAAUAAAAUAUUGAAAGAAAUGCAAUGAUUAGUGAGCAAACCAAAAUAUUGUGAGCAGUAACAAUAUGAAGUAUCUAGCACUUUUUCCUCUUUUCUAACAAAUGCUUUUUCAAUUCCUCCGUGAUGAAUUUUUUUCAGAGGAAAAUACCAUACAAUUAAAGUUUAGUAGGCAUAGAUGAACAUUGAAAAAGGCAUGCACUGUAAAAGACUUCAGUAAUGUUUACAGCCAAUCCAUUUGGCAGUUAAAAUACUUUUCUCUACUGCUUCAAAAUUUUCUGUCAGAGGCACUUCACUUUUCUUGGUACAUAUAAAUGUUUAUUAUCUUUGAUUUGAAAACAAACAAACAAAAGCCUUUUUCUUAUUCACAUUCAGGUCUUACUCUCAUUGAAGGAUAUUUAAAAAUCUGGCAUUGGCUUUAGCAGAAGAAGGAAUGAGCUCUUUUUGACUUCAGUUGGAGCACUUGCAAGUUUAAUAGUUGAUAUAGCUAUUUCCAGGAUCUAAGGUCUUCCAUUGCUUUACAGAUAAUGGAAUCCAUAAAAUCCUGCCAUAUGUCAUAGAAUGAUUUUCAUAUUAUUAAUGAAGUAACCAUGGUUAAUUUUUUUGACUGAUGAGACUCAAGUAUUAAACUGAUCAAAAAUGAGAGAGGCUAAAUUAAUUUAUACUGUAAUGAAGUGAAAUUAACAUUUAUGAUUUAGGACUGUAUGCUGUGUAUUUGAGAACACUCCCUAUAAAUAUCAGUGACCAUAAAGGGUUCUUUUUCUCACCUCUUCAUUAUUCUGGCCAAUGUUGCUUAUUUUUUUAUAAAGCUCUUAGAAAUGGAAUAUAUUGAGUGUUCCUCUACCUUGUAAUAUUGGUUUAUUGUCUGUGAUGCCAUGCAUUUAUCACAUGUUUAUGAUCUCAUAAAAUGGUUUAGGUUGGAAGGGACCAUGAAGAUCAUCUGGUUUCAGUCCCCCCUUCCACUAGACCAGGUUGUUCAGACCGAUAUCCAACCUGGCCUUGAACACUGCCAGGGAUAGGGCAGCCACAGCUUCUGUGGGCAACCUGUUCUGAUGCCUCAACACCCUCACAAUAAAGAAUUUCUUCCUAACACCUACUGUAAAUCUGCCCUCUUUCAGCUUAAAGUCAUUCUUCCUAGCACUGCACACCCCUGUGAAAGGUCCCUCUUAUAGGCCCCCCUUUAGAUACUCAAAGGGUCUCUAAGGUCUCUCCGGAGCCAUUUCUUCUCCAGGCUGAACAGCCCCAGCUCUCUCAGCCUGUUUUUGUAGGAGAGAUGCUCCAGCCCUUUGAUCAUCCCCGUGACCUUCUCUGGACUUGCUUCGACAGGUCCAUGUUCUUCCCUACACUGGGGACCCCAGAGCUGGACACAGCACUGCAGGCUGGGUCUCACCAGAGCAGAGGGGCAGAGUCCCCUCCCUGCCCUGCUGCCUGCACUGCUGUGGAUGCAGCCCAGGGUGCACUUGGCUUUCUGGGCUGCAAGCUCACAUAGCUGGGUCAGGCUCAGCAUCUCAGCCCCCAGGUUGUCCUCCCCAGAGAGAAAUGUGAAAUGUCCACUAAUUCAAAAACAUUGUGGCAACAGAUUGCAUUCUUCAAGUUAAAUAUGCUUUCAGUGUAAAGUAAAAUAGAUGGGAAGAUCAUUUAGAGUCAGUAUUAUUAGAAUGUACCGCCAACGAAUACACUUGAAACUCAGUAGAAUAGUGUUACAUUUUUACCCACUAAAAAUAAUGAGAUCUGCUAUGAAAUUUCUGGCUCAAAUUAAAUUUCAGUAAAUAACCAGGGAACAUAAAAUGAGUCUAGCUUGCAACUUUCCUCCCCCAUUGUUUUUCAAACAGCACAAAUUAAUUUUUCAUUCAGAAUUUUGGUAAAUUUUAGGAUCAGGAAUUUGGAGAGCUUUCACUGAUCAACAAAUAUGUGAGCUAUUUCAAAACCUGAAAAUGUGUUUGUAAGUUCUGUAAAUAGGAACAAUUGAAUGCUGAGCUCCAAGAAAAAUCUGGCCAGGAUCUUAUGUGCCAAGUGUUCAAGAAUCUUUUCCUUAAAGUGUAAAAAUAUAGCCUUAUCAAAGCCAAAAAAAUUGAAAAUUAUUGAGAAUAUUCUCCCCUCCCCCUUCAUGUUUUUGUCAUCUUCCAGUCUGAGGCAUCCAAAACCACAAGCAAAGCAAAUCACCAUUUCUUGAAGUGUUUUUACAUGUCAUGUUGUGAUGAGGGUACUGUCAUGUCCCCACAUCAACUAGCAGUGGAACUUCCAAAAUCUUACCUCAUCUCAAAUGGCUAUUAAAAUAUAUUAAAAAUUAUAAACUUAAUAUCAAAAAUUUGGAGAAGCAGAGCUAUCAUAUACAGAUGCAGGUUAGAGAUUUCUUUAUCCUUGAGGUGGCUACUAAUUCCUGGUUUGCACUAGGAAGCAAUUUUCUUAUUCUAUUUCUAUUAUUCUCAUUAGAAAUCAUUUAGCUUGACAAAAUGUAUUUAUUCUCAUUCUUUAGUAUGAUCCUUCAGAAAAAGAAAAUAUGAAUGCUUUUUCAUUAUAUUUUCAUUAGGAAGUAUAUUAUGACUUUUAUGCUGUGCAUCAGAUAUUAGUGGAGGAGAGAUGGAACUGAGGUGAUGUUUGCUAUAUGUCAGUAGAAGAAGUUUUGAUUUCACUGAUAAAGGAACUGUAGUGUCAGCUAAAUGGGCUUAAAGCAGGUUGGUUCAGGUCAAAUGCACUGUAACUAUCAGCAGUCUGAAUCCCAAAGAAAGAGGAAAAUAAAGCCUUAAAGCAUCAGUAGCCUGUGGCUGAAGCACCUUUUCUCCAGUUUUAGUCUGUAACCGUAAGCACAUAAAUAGGAAACUGAUGGAUACAGAGGCUUCCCUGAACUUUCUUAUGGAAUAGUGCAGGCUGAAGAGAAGAUUCCUCAAGUAGAAGAUAGUUCAAGUAGAACAUGGCUCAAUUUUCUAGAAGUUUUGCUGAUUGAACCCUUGUUAUUAGUAAUACAUGAAUGAAACCUGAGAGUUAGUUUAAUUUGGGGUUUUUCUAGUUUUACAUAAUUACAGAUAAGGAACAAACUGAAUCCACGGUCCAGCUUGUCCUUUAAACCUUUAUUGCUAGGUUCAAUAGACAGCUUUCCGUAUACAGGAAUUUUUGACUCUUGGAGAAAAUCUUGAAAUUUCCUUGAAGAGUGUCUCUGAUUCUGAUAAUAGAACAAAACUCCUCUCAUCUCUAAGGUUAAACAAGGAUAGCUGAAAAUAUCUGCAAGGGUGUUAAUUGUCCUCUGAGGAUCUACAGGGAGAAAGACUGGAAAAGAGUAUUGAAGAAUGGGAAGAAUUAAGUUCUGGAGUUGAACAUAUAUUAAAUAUACUUUUAUUUUAUUUCUUAAAACUUUUGGAUUAUCAGUUUAAUGUUUUGGAGCUACAGUAUAGCCACUUGUAGAUUUUUUUGGAAUAGAAGUGAUAAGGAUGAAACAAUAAAGACAUAGAAUCAGGGAUCUUUUAGGCAGAGUAAAGAGAUGGAAUUAGAGCCACUCACUUUCCUGAUUUGUUCCUAUUGUUCUUCCUUUUAGAAAGUGCUUGUAUGCAGACAUCAGGACAGUAAGCCUCAUAUAAGUUAGAUCUGGUUACAGUUCCUUAUACUUGGCUUCAGUCUGUCAAGUGUCUUUGACAGCUUUUAGAAACUUUAAAUAAUUGUGAAGGAAACUUGAGCCAUCAACCAUCAGUAUGAAACAACAAUGCUUCAUUUUUGCUGCAUGUUUGUCUAUAGGUUUUGGAGCCAUGUUUUAUGUGUGCUUUGUUUGAUUUGUGGAGAUAUUCAGCUGACUAAGGAAAAUCCAUAUCACAACUUAGUAAAAAGUUUUCCUAUUACACUUUGUUUUGCAAUUAGCUUUCACAGAUUUUUGUUGCAGGAAGCUCAUUCAUACAGCCUAGUUUAGGUUUCAAAUGCUUGCCAUGUUUAGACAGCAAGGUUUAAGUUAUUACAGAGAUGGGCAGUAGUAUAAAUCUUCUGGCAGUGAUCUGCUCUGGCAUAUUCUGUAUAUACUAUAUAUAUUUGCAUUGUAAUAACUCCUUUAUUAAUAUCGGGGGAAAUGAAAAUUAAAUCAGCAUGAAAUCUGCUUAAAAAAAAGAGUAAGAUUACUUCCUUCAAGGGUCUUUCAUCACUAUUUUAACAGCUAGAAAUAGUAUGCAAGAUGUGGAUAGUAUGUGUGGGAACAAAGGAUAUUUCAUCCCUUACUGAGAUCUUCUCAGCUUUGGUAACUCCAAAACUGAACAGGAGCUUUGUAGCUGCAUUGUUUGAUGAUAUUUCCAUAACAUUUGUGGCUGUCCAACUUUGUUGUGAAAUAAAAGUCAGGAAAUCUGACUGAAUGCAUUGUUAACUUUCAAGAGCCUACAUUUUACUUCUGCAAAAGCCCUGUGACAUUUCAAUCUGUAAACGUCCUUGUCCUUAAACUGGGGCAGAAAGAGAGGGACAGGAAAGGAGCCUAAAGUAUCACUGUAAUUUAAAGGUUUUCCUGGAGAAGAUGAGUGAGGUACUGUUUGGUCUACCAGAAGCUGAAAUCAAACAAAUGACUGUUUUAACAUGUUGGGCAUGAUUUCAUUCCAUCAUCAUCAGUCAGAUGGAAAACAUGCUGACAAGCUUUGAGUGACCGGUGACAGGAUCCAAGGGCACUGUGGUCACAGCAUGGUUAGCUGGCACAGCAAGGCCACCUUAGAUAACUAGUCAUGCUAUUAGAGUAGUGCAUUAAUUUGUGAAGAAUUAACAUUAGUAUUAAUUAUGAGAUUUUAAAUUAUUUUUUUUUUAAUGUCUGGCUUUUCUAGAAUGCUUGUUUUAGUAUUGUAUAUUACAUUUGCUCUUUUUAUUACUGUAUUUUAGAGUCACAUUCUGUUAUGUAACUACAGAUGGGUGGAACUAUAGGCAGAGUUAUCUGGCUUUUAAUGCAUAAGGAAAAGACUAUCAGAAAAUUUACUGAAUUUAUGAUGUGUUUCUCAACAAUUAAAUAUUGAAGUAAAAAAGGAAACCAUAUGUUAAAAAUUAUUGUAAUUUUUGUACUUGUACAUUUUUAUGAAGAAGAUGAUUUGUUUCCUGAUGAUAUUUCAGAGAUUCUUGUAAUUAUUUUGUGGUCUUUUCCAGCUGCCCUAAUACCAAGCUCCUUUGCACUUUCCUCAUUCCAUAGGUGCUCUAGGGAAUACUCUGUUUCACAGCAAGCAUGUGCCUCCGCGGCUGUACUGUGGAAAGAAGCAUGCAUUAUGAUUUCUUUUGUAAAGUCCAUGCAUUUGAUCGUGUAAUGAGGUCAAGAUGUCCCUCAUGAUACUUUCAUAGCGUGAUGCCAAUGACCUGAUAUGCCCUAGAAGAGAGAAAGGGGUAGUUAACUAUUUAUUAGCUCUCUCUAUAAAUGCAGCAACAGAUUACAAGCAGUCACCACAUUGUUAAAGCAGUCUCAGCUGAUCAUUCAAGUCUUUUAUUUGUGCAUAAAAGUAAGACUGGAACAUUUGUAUUUAUCCUUUCCUAGACAUCCUCUUCAGGUCUCUCUCUCUUCUGGGAGACAGAAGCAGCAUGGGUUUUGGCCCUUGGCUUAGACCUGUGAUAUUUCUGGCCAGUUUAUCUCACCUUUUCUUAUGAUGCUGUUUAAAAGCUCGUUCAACUAUUUUUGCUACUGCUGUUUGUUUGCUUAACUGAUCCUUUAAUCCUAUUCAUAGCUUCUGUUAGAGGGUGAGGUCCUCAUAAUCCUUUUAGGCAAACUUGUUUUCAUUUUGUUGUCUUGGCUGGUGUCCAUUCAAGGGUGGUUACUAGCCAUAAAUAUAUGACAAUUUUUAAGAUAAGUACGGGGGCAAUAAUUGGAGAACUUUUGACUUUGAAUUUUACUUUUCUGGUAGCAAAUAUGAGCUCAACAAAUCGUGCUGCAUGGCUUUGUUAUUGUACCCAGUCCCAUAAUCACAUGCUUAUGUCUCCAGUUAAAGGAGGGUAACAUAAACCUUCUCAUGGGGGCUUGGAAAUCUCUUUGCAGACAGAAAGCAAAGUAUUAGAGGAUUUUACAAGAGGCCAUGUUUACAUAUCACAUUGCUACUUUGCUGGCAGUAGAUCCAAAUUAGAUAAAGGUUCCUAGCAUUUUAGAAAAUAUAAUAUUUUCUCUAAGAGUGGUUGAAUUAAGAAUCUGAAGCUUUGCCUCCCUGCCUGACAAGCUGGAGGCCCUGAGCAGUGUCAUUUUCUGCUAAGAGGAAGGAAGUGGAGUUGACAGGAGCUCUCCUGACAGAGAGCUGCUGACCACCAGGACAUGGGCUGUUGGUCUCUCUAAAUGCAGUAUUUCUUUUCCCGGGGAUGCAUUGUGAAUUUCAAGCUUUGCUCUUUUUCCUGUUUCUAGCAUGCAGGCUGUUGGCAGUGUUAUACUUAUUGCAAUUUUGUUGUCUUGGCAAAGAAUUCAAGUGUUUGCAUGCCUCAGUGGACCAGUGAUAGACUAAUAAUAUGUAGCAACAGUAAAUAUUUUUUUUUUUUCUGCACUGAAAUCAUGUUCCAUAGGUGCCAUGCUGGAAAAUGAGAUCAGUGUUUGAUCCAGUUUGAUCCACUCUGGUAGCUCAGUUGUGGAUAUGCUGCUCUCAAGGGAGAGAGCUCCUGAGUACAGUGGACAGAGCCCAGGGACACCCUGGCAGUUUUAGCAUCACAAUUUUCUCAGUGGAGUUUAUCUUUUGCCUGGAGAAAUAUCUUGAGCCAUGACUGUGAUUGUGGAUUGCUCAGGCUUUGAAUGCCUGUGUGUGCCCCAAAUUACGGAGAGCUCACCUUCAGAUGAUCUGAUAAAAUGGUGUUGCAAUAUUGCUGCAUGAGAUGCACACUUCUGAACUACUGAUGGUCGGCAUCAGCACAGAAAUAUGAGGUCCCUCAGUAUGGCCUGCAAUCAAUUUCAGUUUUCUGGGUAGCAUUAGAAAAGGAAAAGCCCCAGAGAAGCCAGGAAAAAUCUAUCUUGUGUCAAAUGCUAUACACGUGCAGAAACUCUUCGUACACCUCUGGAAUGGUGCAUUUCUUGUGUGUGAAGCUUCUCUUCCUAGAGCAAACAGCUGGUUAAUGGAGACAUGUGUUUCUCCAACUGAACUUCAAUGCCAGUUAAAACUAGUAUUUUUUUAAUUAAGAAUAAAACUGCUACUUUUUCUAGACAAUUUUUUGUGGCAUCAGAAGAAUUGAUGAAAGAUAGUAAAUGUGUAAAACUGGCAAGUUAUGAAAAUUAAAUAAUGAAACAUGCUUUUCAAAAGCUAUGAAGGAUUACAGUUUGAAAACUAUUUAUUAUACUUGAUUUUUAACCUAUUUUUUUAAUAAUAUAUCUCAAUGUUUUUUAUGGUGGUCUCCCUUUUAAAAAUAAUUUGAAAACCUGGUGAAUUUUGCCAUAGCUAUGUAAAAAUAUUCCUCUUUAGAACAUGAAAGUCUUAAAUGAUUCAUUAUGGUCAGAUAAUAAUUUUUAAAAAUUUAUUUAAUGUAAUGCUUUAUGAGAUUUUUAGUUUAAGAACUAAGGGCAAUUUGACCAAAAAGGCCCCCCAAAAUCUUGAAGGAUCUAGGUGUAUUACUCCUGGCAAAGAAUAGAGGCUAAACCACUGAUACACUACAAAUGAUUUCACACCAAAGUCUGCCCUAAUUGUCCAAAACCACAAAUUAAUUCCCUUAUCCAGACUGAGAUCCCUGGGCACCAAAAAAACAUUGAAUCAAGGAACUGAGGCUGAAUUUUUCAAAAAUGAGUAAAAGCUCCUAUUUUUUCACUUCUGUCUCGUACAUCAAAGGGAUCCAUUGAGCUGUGGUAUUGUGAAACUAACUAAAAAUGUACCCCAAUGAAACUUCAUUUUUGGGAAGAGGAGACCUAAAAGUCUGUGGGAUUUGAUCUCUGUGAUCCUCAGGUAAUGCUGAGGGGGAUCAGGUACAAUGGUAUGAAUUUGUUGUUAACCCCCUAAGUCUGUGUAAAUAUUAAUUUAACUAGAUUAAAGGUAUGAUUGACUUUAUCAGCAGGCAAAACCAGAUCCAAAUAUAAUAGGCUAGCCCUAUUUUCUACCUGCUGCAGAUCUGGCAUUGCAGGUGAUACAUGGAUUGAAGACAGGAUUGAGUUCUGUUCAUCUAUCAGGCUUAGUCCUCAGCCUUAAAAUGUGUACAGCAUGGUAAUAUUGCAUGGCAUUUGACCCCUCCACUGGGAUCCUGCUGAGGGUGUGGCAAGGUGAGUAUCCCACAGCGUUACUCAGGAAUAACACACUGUCCUGCUUGCUUUGGGUUAUGUUUUUCCAUGUUUGUGUUUCAAGUCAUGAAGAUAAUUGGAAAACUACAGCUGCACAGGAUGGAGCUUGCUGUGUAAGCAGAGGUCUAAACACUGUCUACAGAGACACCUAGAUACCAGGGUGUUGCUGUUUGAACAUUUGUGCACCACCUCUUCAACCACUAUAUAAGGAACCACCUUGCAUUUCAUUCUUGCACGUAUGUAAUGAUUUUACAGAAUUUGAAAGAAUGUACCAUGGAUGGAAACAAGAUAUGCUCCUGAAGAAAUGUUUUAUUCUACAAAACUUGCCCAAUUUGAGCAUUUUCCAGGUAAAGGAUCUGCUUUUUUCUUUAUUUUUAUUAUUUUUUUUCUUUUUCUGAAUGUUAUUUGUUUGCUUUAAACACUGUAGAGUAAGUGACCUAAGAAAAGCUUGCUGAGUCAAAAAUUCUUUCUCCCAGAGUUAUUUGUGAGAAGGGAACAAUACCUAAAAUAGUAACCCACUUGGAAUCAAAUCUACCUGAAAAUACCACAAAUAUGUGAUUUUUUUUUUCUUACAUAGUAGGAAAAAACCCCCAACCUAAUGAUCUCCAAUCCAAAUAGUUACCAUAGUAACUCAUGUUAUGGUAUAUUAUUUAUGGACAUAUUGCAACAUAGUAUUCAUAAUGUGUUACUUUUUUCAGACCUUAUGCUUCUGGUUGUUCAGGUAACAUUUGCACAGCUGAGUGAAAUGCCAGAUCUUUUCACUUGUAGCAAGCUAACAUUUCUCUAUCCUAUCAAAAAGUGCAGAAUGAUGUGUUUUUGAGAACACUAUAAAAAAAUCAUAGGUUUUAAAAAUUAUAUUUAGAAAAUCAGUGUAAUACAGCAAAGCAAUGCUGCUAAUUUCCUUUUUUAUCCCUGCCAUGUUUUAUGGGCUGAAGGGCAGGGGGAUAACGCUGCAACCACAACAAGUAGUGUAUUCCUGAUCUGCUGAUGGAAGGGAAUGGCACUUCAUUAAAAACUCAAUUGAAACUGCUGAAAAGAAAGCAAACAGAAGUAUCACAUGACUGGCUCUACUGUAGUUUUUCAUAAAUGCUUUUUAAUAGUGAUGUGAAGACGUAAAUUGGUCUGUAAAAGGCAGACUAAUUUGUUAAGCUUGUGUUGAUGGAAUUUCAAAGUAAUUUUAUUUUUCAAGGAUUAUCUUCAGACAACUAUUUACUGAAAUAAGUGCCUAUGUUCUUGGUAAAAGCAACGUUCUCUUCCUUCUGCUUACAUUUUGAGGCACGAAGAGCAGCUGGACACUCUACUGCUAAAGAACAGUAGUGAAACUUGGUCGCCUGGCUUUGCCAUUCUCAGCCAGGGGCCAGAGUAGGUGCUCUGUCUUUCACUGCUCUCUUCCUUUUUAUACAAAUGCUGUCUUAAAAAAAAUUAAGCUAGGUGUUGCUAUGACUGCAAAAGAAUGCCAUUGAAUCAAAGGGAACUGUCUGCACAUCCAGGUCACUCUGAAAUGCUUUGUCUUUGAAGCUGAUCUCACAUGCGCACCAAAUUGAAUAUUUGGAUAUAAAUAUUUAGACACUUGAGUUGAUUAAGUUUACUUAACACCCAAGUAUUUUUACUUGUUAUCUAAUUACCAUGUUACACAGAGCAAGUUUUUCAAAUGAGGUUUUCCUGCCAGCAAGUGCCACUCUUCCCAGACAGGAGCUCAGCUAUCAGUUGAUAUUCCCUUUUCUGCUUGUCAUUUUCAUCAUUUGGCACCUGUAACUAUUUUGAACACAAUUUAUGUCAUUUAUACAUGACGUGUGUGACACCUAAAUGCCACAAAUCACGCAUAUGCAUCAUGGCUGCCACAAAUUUACAUCUGUAAUUAUCUAUACUUGCAAACUGUCAUUGUUAUGAGGCCUUGUUGGAGACUGGCUGAAGAGCAUGACAUACUUCACUCAUCCUCUACAUGGAAACUACAUCUUGUUCCAUAAUUUUUUUCUGUUUGAAAAGUUAUUAAGAUGUUUUAAAAUAAAAAUUAGUUAACAAUUGACAUGGAUGAAAAAGAAGUAUUCUGUGUGAGAAGUAUUUUUCCUCUCUGCACUGCAUUUUAUUUCAACUGUGAAUAGACUUUUCAGAGAAGAUAUUAAUAUUUUAUUGAGAACAGUCCUGUUCCAUUAUUACUCUGACCAUGCAAUUAUCCCAUUAAUGAGCAAAAAAGGGUGUUUCCCAAUAUAGAUUUCUUUUUACCACCAACAUUUACAUGGAUUCUGGUACAUCCUGUUGAUAAAUAUUCUUGUAAUUCUUUCUUUUUUUUUGUAUUGGAAAAGAAAGCAAUAAUCACUCUAGUUGUAAAGUGUCCAAACCUGGUGGUUGUGGUUGUACAGAUCUAAGAUUUUCCUGCUAUGAUUAUUUUUUGUAAGAAGACAGUAAGUUCACUCAGAGGUAGGAAGGUAUUUUUGCCCAUUCACUGUCUAAUUAUUGGUGCAGCUUCUCUACUACAAACUGAUGAUUUCUGAGAGGGAAGGGAAAACUUUAUUUAUAAUCCACAAUUCUUUUGUUAAAUAGUCACUAUGUAAUGAUUCAGUUCCAAAAUAUCUUUAAGUUGUAUGUACAGUCUCCUCACAAUGGAAACACAUUUUUUUUCAAUCAAAAAUGUUGAUGUUUUGGAUCUUUUUAUAUCACUGGAUGCUGUUUAUACCAUUGGAACUGUGAUCUAAGAGCUCACGCACAUGUCACAGGCUCUCAGUCCAAGUACUUUGAAACAUACUCAGCUAGGAUCCUUGAAGGAAAAUUUUUGUAGUGCCUCUCUGCUGUGUGUAUCAUUACUUUUUUUAAUGCUUGCUCUUCCUCCUCCAACUCCAGUCUUUGAAGUGCUGUGUCUCUGUAGCCAGCUGAUAGAGUUCAUAGAGAUUUUGAGGCUGGGAGUAUCUGCAUUUAUUUGGAACAUGUAGCUAGCAAUGAAGACUCUUAACAGCCAUUCUAGAGCUGUUUGAGAACUGGCUGUUGCCAGCUGGUGUCAUUUUCUCAUGUGCUGGUUGGUGCUACUUAUUUUUAACACCACUAUUUUCUAAAUGGUAAGAGCAGAAGAAAGAAUUGGUGAGGGUAAACAUCACUGUCUACUUAGAAAUUUUGUAUUAAUAGAAUAUUAAAUGUUAAGGAAGGUAAGGCUAGGGGAAGGAUUAAAAGGGGGAAAAAAGGAACAAAUAAAAUAAUUGAGUUGAAAUGAAAUUUAAUCACUCACUGGCUUAUAAUAUCAGUGCUUCACACACUCCAAAAAGACAAAAUAGAAAAUGAAACACUGUGAUUAAAGUUGCACAAAUGGAAAUAAAAGCCAUAAAGAAAUCAGAAAUUAAAUCAGUAUUUUAGCUGUACAUAGGUAUCUCUUUCCAUCUGACCAUCUGACUUCUGACACCUGAUGUUUGCCUGUGCAUUCCCAAAUAAGCCAUCUGCCAACACCUGUUUUGGAGCCAGUUAACUUGUGUGGGACUUGUGUUUUUAAGCCAUUGAUGGGGACACAAUUGAGAGGUAGGGUUUGGAUGAGGUUUUUUUUGGUAUAAUAAUUCUUCUUCUUGUAGUGACCAAUAUUUCAGUCUGCAUACAAAAUUGCUGAGCUUCACUGACAGUAGUGUUUUUCCUCCUCACCACAAGAGGAGUUCUAGUCCUAUGUGAAGUUGGAGAAGCCUUUGCAGAGUUUGUAGAGAUCUUCCAAGUGACUCUUUGAAGCUGUCGUUUUGUUGUGUUAAAAGAACACUCAUUAAAAAAAAAAAAAAAAGCUGCAGAAAGUGUUUAAGAAAGCACAUUAAUUCUCAAAUGAAACUUUGUAGAAAUGCUUAGCAGCUGGUGUACGAUCUGAAAAAGGUUCUUUCUUUUAUUAGAAACACAUAACAUUGGCAUUCCCACUACUGCCAGAAAAGGUUAUGCCAAUAUGAAGCAAAGAGAAGGAAGGAAAGAAGAUUAACAAGUUUUCCAGCUUUCCAUUUCUACAUAAUAAUAUGACUUGAAGAAAAAAAAAAAAACUAAUGUUCAUUAUAUAAAGGGAAAUACCUUUUGCAUCUUUGUUUCUCUAGUUCCAAAACAGAUUGGAAGAUUUUUGCUCUUGUGAAGGACUUUAUUGCUGCAUUUUGGAAAAUGGAUCUGCUAAUUGAAGUCAAGUACCUGAAUGGUGGCCUUUUUAGGUUUGGGGGAGCAGAACACAACAAACAAACCAAAACCCCUGACCUUGAAGAUUCAAGGUUUAACUUCCGUUGCAAUAAUUUGCCUGGUUCUGCAUUUGUGGUCAUCCUGACCUGUUUGGUAGAUAAACAGUAGGGCUUCACUGACCUCAACUUUGACACCUAUGAAACUGUUACAAAAUCUAAAAUUUGGAAUUGCAAUAGGAAAGCAUGCCAGUAAAAACUGUGCCUUUUACAUGUUAGAUAUGCAGAUAUACAUUUAAUUUAAUUUUCUAAUUUCUUAUUUUCUUUCCACUUUUCUUUUGCUAUGGCACAACUGAUGAAAGCCAAAGUGUAAGUUUUUACCUCAAUCCAAUCAGUUCCCUGAUCUUAAUAGGUCAUCUAUACUAAUCUGAUUUUUGUGAUUUAAGUCUAGUUAUGCUAUCAUAAAAAUCAUGGAGAGCAUUUCUAUGGUGCUUCUUCCUGUGAUGUGGAAAACAGCUCCUUUUUUGAUCUUGUAACUAAAUGAAAAAAAUGCAGUAUAGAUAAAGCCAUGUGUAUCUUAUAUAGCCUCAUUUUUCUCUGAGUUUAUCAAUCUCAUUGGCCUUGUCACACAGUUACUUAUGUCAGUUGAUUACAAACCACCACAAACAUAAAGAAUGGAAACACUACCACUAUUCUUGGGUAUAAAUUAUAUUUACAUAGGAAUCUCCUUUGUUUUCCCUUUGUUUCUCCACACACAAAGACAUCCAGCCUUGCAGCCUGGGGAUCCUAAACAUGCUGCACGGCAAGGGCUUGGGGAGAGAGAAGAGGAUGAGGAGGAGCUGUGAGCCUGACUGGCUUUAUUCCAGGGAGACUGUGAUCAGUAGUGGGGAGAAAGGAAGGGUUUCCUUCCUUUAUGACUGUCAGGCUCUUUCUGUGCUUCCCAUCAGGUAGGAUUACUCACACUCCUGCGUUGUGUUAUGUGGUCUCGGGACCCAUCACUGAAUUCUUAAGGUUCAACUUUAUCUGCAUGUAUUGUGAAGACUUACUUGAAUACCUCUAUUUUACUUUUGCUGCAGACCAGUUUUUUUUUAGUUGCAACUACAUUCCACUCUGUUGUCAAUUACUUUGUAGUUAGAUUUGGGCCCAAUCAGCUCAAAUAGCACUGCCUUCACUUAGUCACUUAGAUCCAAUUUAGCUACCUCGAGAAGUGACUAUUAACAUUAAUCACGUAAAUAAUCAGCACCUUUUCAGAAUGGCUGAGUAGAGGUGGGAGAUAGAAUGUUCCUUCCUGAAGGCAGAUGAGUUGGAAUUUUUUGGCCAAGCAGAUAAAAUCCUAAGAUUACAUAGUCUUCAUUGGUUGCUACGUAAAGUGAGACGGGAGAUGAAAUUCUGUGACCUUUUAAAAACGGGCAAUUACAGUUGCUGAGAAAUUAGCAUACAUGAAAUCUGUGUAGAAUUGCAUAACUGAAGUUGUAUGAAUGAUUUAACAUCGAUACUACCAUUGCCCUGCUCAUACAUUUAGCACAUAUUAAAUUUACUGUAGAUCUUCUAGAUUUUGCAAACCUGCAUGUUAAUCUGAUUUUUUUUUUAUAUUAUACCUUUAGUAGAUAAAAUGAAGUGUCAAGUUAAAUUAAGCAGUAAAAUAUUUAUUCUAAGCUGUUGAUGACAGCAUCAACAAUGUAUUAGGAACCAACCCCAGGAAGCACUGACUUCUGUCCCAUCUACUUUAAUGUGAAUCUGAAAUAAGCCAUUUAAAGGUAAGGGAUAUGUUAAUAGAGUUAAGUCAGUGUAAAAUUGGCAUGAAAAGAGGAUGAAGAUGUAAUAUUGAGUCAUUGGUUCAGAAAAAAAUACAGAACUCGUUGUAUGUAAAAAUUCUUAUGACUGAUGCAUGACAUCUGCUUCCAGAUGCAGGUUGUUCCUCUGAUCCUUUUAAACCAACCACUGGGACAUCCUUGUAUUUUGUGUACUUGAAUAUUCAUGUCAGGGAACUGAAAAUAUUUGGGUGCUAGAAAUACAAAAGACCUAUUUUUGGGAGUUAUCCCAGCAGUUCUGAAAGAUUAUUUAAACUUAUCAUGGUGUUCCCAGUAUGGAUAAGGGUAUUUCCUUAGUCAACUAUACUUGGUAACUUAAUAUGACUGCUCUAUUUUCUUUUCCAUGACAUGGCAUGGAAAAGUGUUAAAUAUUUCAGGUUGUGCUGAAUGGAUAUAGAAAGUCACAAAAUUGGCAAAUGCAUCUCAAUAGAGUAUGACGUGAAUUAUUAGAAUUUUAAUGCAAGAAAGCACAAAUUCCUGCAUAUCCAACUGCAUCCUCAGCGCUGUUUGAUCCUGGCUAUCUCAAAA